CGCGCGCGAAGGCGGGGUCUCCCGGCAGCCCCGCCCCCGGCGCUGGGCGAGUGCGUCUGCGUGUGCGGCGCGCGCGGCCGGUGUUUCGGGCCUGCGGGGCGGGUGUGCGUGCCGAGGCCGCGGGGGCUUCCCGGCGUGUGGGUGCGUCUGGCUUUGGCCCCCACCUACGGAGGAAAGUUCCCCUCCCUGGCCCCGAAUUCCGGGGAGCUCCCAGUCCUUGAGCCGUUCCAGCACCGGAUCUCUUCAGAUGUCUUGGAAUCUAGGUUUGUGGGCACAUUCUCAGUGCUCAGGAGAUGCCGCCCCGGUGCCCAACCUCCUCACUCGUCCGCAGCGGCUCCCACCGGCUCCCACCUUCGCCCGGACCCGGGCCCCACACGGCCCGUCCGCACUCCCAGUAGCAGGGACACCACGUCAGAUCCGGGGUCUGCAGGCGGUGGAUUCACUCUUGGGCUUGGGCUUGGGUCGACGCAUUCACGCUCUGAGUCUUCCACCCUGUUAACCCCUAAGCAGCCGUCGGCAACAGGGCUUCUCUGGCGGUUCAGGAACUCCGACGGCACCUGGCAAAGGAUCCCCAGCUGCAGCCUGGGUGUGUGGCUGGCUUCGAGCACUCCCCCGUUCCAGUUUCUUCAUGAAGGAAAAGUCCUCCUCUGCUCCCGUGGUGUAAAAGAGGGACGUUCCGGGCCCAGCUGCAUUUUCCAUAAGACAAAGCCUUUGUGGGGUCAGGGUGCAUUCCUGUUGGAGACAAUUGUGAAUGGAUUCCCUACGUUUCUGCAGUCCCACGAGGGAGGCACCCCUGCCCUUCGUCCCAAACCAGCCCUUCAAGUUGUUUACGAGAGCUUGUGAGAAAACCUUGAAUUUGUCUUCGGUUAAAUACCAAGACCAGCCGUGACUUCCCUUUCCUUGUGGACCACCGAGUCUAUGUUUCUAGAAAUUUCGAAUUCAAGAGCCCGGAAGACAAAGGCUGUGCGCAGGCUCAGAACGUGGGGCCCACCCUUACAAACAACCCUUACAAACAGAGGGACUGGUUCUAACCUGCUUCAGGCGCUCCUCAGCAAAGCAGCUCACCACGUUGGGGGAAUGAGGUCCGAAUGUAGUUGGAGUUGCAGGAACAGCUCGCCAGGAGGUGAGUUCUGGGUGGGAGAUGACGACACCAGUGAGGAACAACCCAGAGCGUCUCUAUACAGACCAGAAUCCUUGGGAUGCACAAGACUCGCCAGGGCCGCUAACUUGGACAACACGCCAGGCUGUUGCAAGUCCUGUGAGGUGUACUGAGAUUAUGAAAAAUGUGUAUGCCAUUUCCUUCAGGAAAAGCUUAUCAUCUAUAAAUAUUCAUUCAAGUUAUUUCCUCAUAUUGUGUAGCUCCUAACAGAAAACCUAUGAGCUUAACGUGGGAAACAGCUUGGAAAUGGGGGUGCUUUUUCUUAGGGUUUAUGUUGCGGUUGCUCUUACUUCCAUGGCUUUCCGGGCUGGUUCUCUUAUGAUUGGUACUCUUUCCUCAAAACACAGCAAAUAAGGAUCUAGCUGCUUCUUGGCUGAGAUCAUAGGCUGGUUAGGCUGAUUUGCAGUGCAGGGGUCUACCUGCUGAUGCCACAUAACUGAUUUCUCGGCUCACCCUUUAUAGAGGGUGCCUUCAUGGGAUGCCUGGGGGGUCCAGUCAGCUGAGAGUCUGCCUUCAGCUCAGGUCAUGAUCUCGGCGUUGUGGGAUCGAGCCCUGAGCAGGAGCCUGCUUCUCCCUCGCCCUCUGCCCCUGCUCAUGUGCUCACUCUCUCCCUCAUUGUGUUUUUCAAAUGAAU
rnacentral:lncRNA from 1 species